GCCAGGCCCAAGGCUCGUGUAUGGGGAACCAAACCAGCUGCCCGACCGAGACGCGUCCUACCCUUUCGUCUCAGCUCCAUCCGCACAAAGCUCGGCCAUCGGCUCGUCAAUCGGCACGCUGAGGAGCGAGCCAUCGUCAAGCGCCUCAAAUCUCGCCCGUUUCACAUUGACCAUUUGGAAAGUUUCGAAUUCCCGUCGGCUGCUUGAUUCAUUCCCUGUUCAGAGUCGCCGAUGGAGAUCCCCUUUCGCAUCUCGGCUCCAAACUCAUUGAUGGAUCCACACCACCAAUUUUUGGCCUGUUCCCAUGUCUGAUCCAUCGAGGUCAGUUCGUUCUGCUCCGUCCUCAGGACUCAUCGCUGUGGACGGUAGACUACAUCGGGAGUGCCUUGCUUGUCGCAGAAGACGAUUGCUAGACGCUGUGCAUGCAUGUCUUGAUUGGCCCCUUCAACAACAACGAUCUUCCGUCGGUGACCAAGAUCUGCGUACGACGAGCACCUUCAGCAAUGCCUCCUAGUUGCUGGGCGUGAUUUUCUAUUGCCCGUCACUCGGCUAACAAGAUGCAGGCGACGAGACUUCACAUAGCAGCUGGUUACUUUACAAAGCAGUAAACAGACAAGACCUAUUGAUUGAUCUCAAUCUGAUCACUAGUCAGGCACUGGGAUGCACAUGUUGGAGUAGUGCCAAAUAGAGAAUGUGCAAGAAAAGCAACUAAACUUAGAUCCUGUAAUGUUCAGUUACCUUUGAGAUGACAUGUAGUUUCACAAUAUGUAAGGACGACGUGUCUUGUACUGUACCACGUGUUUUGUAUUGUUUAUUUAAAUUAAGUUGGAUUAGUAUAAUAUAAUUUGUUGUAAAUGUUUCUAA